UGGUUCUGGCAUCGAUGAAGAACGCAGCAAAAUGCGAUAAGUAAUGUGAAUUGCAGAAUUCAGUGAAUCAUCGAAUCUUUGAACGCACAUUGCGCCCGCCAGUAUUCUGGCGGGCAUGCCUGUUCGAGCGUCAUUUCAACCCUCAAGCCCCCGGGUUUGGUGUUGGGGAUCGGCAAGCCUUCUGGCGAGCCGCCCCCUAAAUCUAGUGGCGGUCUCACUGCAGCCUCCAUUGCGUAGUAGCUAACACCUCGCAACUGGAACGCGGUGCGGCCAUGCCGUUAAACCCCCAACUUCUGAAUGUUGACCUCGGAUCAGGUAGGAAUACCCGCUGA
rnacentral:misc_RNA from 1 species